GUUUUUGUUUUAUGAUGGGAGCCUUCCUGCAGUCGACGGUAACAGGUCUUCGGACGCUGACGAGUGGCGAACGGUGGAGUAAUACAUCGGAACGUGCCCAGUCGUGGGGGAUAACUACUCGAAAGAGUAGCUAAUACCGCAUACGAUCUGAGGAUGAAAGCGGGGGACCUUCGGGCCUCGCGCGAUUGGAGCGGCCGAUGGGAGAUUAGGUAGUUGGUGGGAUAAAAGCUUACCAAGCCGACGAUCUGUAGCUGGUCUGAGAGGACGACCAGCCACACUGGGACUGAGACACGGCCCAGACUCCUACGGGAGGCAGCAGUGGGGAAUUUUGGACAAUGGGCGAAAGCCUGAUCCAGCAAUGCCGCGUGCAGGAUGAAGGCCUUCGGGUUGUAAACUGCUUUUGUACGGAACGAAAAAGCUUCUCCUAAUACGAGAGGCCCAUGACGGUACCGUAAGAAUAAGCACCGGCUAACUACGUGCCAGCAGCCGCGGUAAUACGUAGGGUGCGAGCGUUAAUCGGAAUUACUGGGCGUAAAGCGUGCGCAGGCGGUUAUGUAAGACAGAUGUGAAAUCCCCGGGCUCUACCGGGGAACUGCAUUUGUGACUGCAUGGCUAGAGUACGGUAGAGGGGGAUGGAAUUCCCGCGUGUAUUCCUGAAGUGCGUAGAUAUGCGGAGGAACACCGAUGGCGAUGGCAAUCCCCCUGGACCUGUACUGACGCUCAUGCACGAAAGCGUGGGGAAGCAAACGGGAUUAGAUACGCUGGUAAUCCCCGCCCUAACCGAUCUCAACUGGGUUGUUAGGAAUAAGUUUUCUCAGAUAUGAAGCUAACCCUCGAAGCUAACCGCCUUAGGUAGUACGCCGCAAGGUUUAAACCCAAAGAUUUGCCGGGGAACCCUCACCGGCGGUGGUUAAUAGU
rnacentral:rRNA from 1 species